UACGUAGGGUGCAAGCGUUAAUCGGAAUUACUGGGCGUAAAGCGUGCGCAGGCGGUUAUGCAAGACAGAUGUGAAAUCCCCGGGCUCAACCUGGGAACUGCAUUUGUGACUGCAUAGCUGGAGUGCGGCAGAGGGGGAUGGAAUUCCGCGUGUAGCAGUGAAAUGCGUAGAUAUGCGGAGGAACACCGAUGGCGAAGACAAUCCCCUGGGCCUGCACUGACGCUCAUGCACGAAAGCGUGGGGAGCAAACAGG
rnacentral:rRNA from 1 species